GACGAACGCUGGCGGCGCGCUUAACACAUGCAAGUCGAACGGAAAGGCCUGCUUUCCCUUGUGGAUUGCGGGUACUCGAGUGGCGAACGGGUGAGUAACACGUGAGUGAUCUGCCCCCAACUUGGGUAUAAGCCUGGGAAACUGGGUCUAAUUCCCGAUAGGACUGCAGGGUGGUGCCUGUGGUGGAAAACGAUUUUCUAGUGGUUGGGGAUGAGCUCGCGGCCUAUCAGCUUGUUGGUGGGGUAAUGGCCUACCAAGGCGGCGACGGGUAGCCGGCCUGGGAGGGUGGACGGCCACAUUGGGACUGGGAUACGGCCCAGACUCCUACGGGAGGCAGCAGUGGGGAAUAUUGCACAAUGGGCGGAAGCCUGAUGCAGCGACGCCGCGUGGGGGAUGACGGCCUUCGGGUUGUAAACUCCUUUCGACCGCGAGGAAGCCACCUGGUUGGAAGGGUGGUGACGGUAGUGGUAGAAGAAGCACCGGCUAACUACGU
rnacentral:rRNA from 1 species